CAGUAGCCGCGGGAAUACAGAGGGUGCAAGCGUUAAUCGGAUUUACUGGGCGUAAAGGGCGCGUAGGUGGUUAUGUAAGUGAGAUGUGAAAUCCCCGGGCUCAACCUGGGAACUGCAUCUUAUACUGCGUAGCUGGAGUGCAGUAGAGGGUAGUGGAAUUUCCGGUGUAGCGGUGAAAUGCGUAGAUAUCGGAAGGAACACCAGUGGCGAAGGCGGCUACCUGGACUGACACUGACACUGAGGCGCGAAAGCGUGGGUAGCAAACAGGAUUAGAUACCCCCGUAGUCCCUGUCUCUUAUAU
rnacentral:rRNA from 1 species